UUGGAGGGCAAGUCUGGUGCCAGCAGCCGCGGUAAUUCCAGCUCCAAUAGCGUAUAUUAAAGUUGUUGCAGUUAAAAAGCUCGUAGUUGAAUUUCGGGGUCAGUAGGUUGGUCAUGCCACUGGUAUGUACUGGUCUCACUGAUUCCUCCUUCCUGAUGAACUGUAAUGCCACUAAUUUGGUGUUGCAGGGAAUCUGGACUGUUACUUUGAAAAAAUUAGAGUGUUUAAAGCAGGCUAACGCCUGAAUACAUUAGCAUGGAAUAAUGAAAUAGGACGUUCGAUCCUAUUUUGUUGGUUUCUAGGAUUGACGUAAUGAUUAAUAGGGAUAGUUGGGGGCAUUAGUAUUCAAUUGUCAGAGGUGAAAUUCUUGGAUUUAUUGAAGACUAACUACUGCGAAAGCAUUUGCCAAGGAUGUUUUCAUUAAUCAAGAACGAAAGUUAGGGGAUCGAAGACGAUCAGAUACCGUCGUAGUCUUAACCAUAAACUAUGCCGACUAGGGAUCGGAUGAUGUUAAUUUUUUAAUGACUCAUUCGGCGCCUUACGGGAAAC
rnacentral:rRNA from 1 species